rnacentral:rRNA from 1 species
GGCUUAAACAUGCAAGUCGAGCGGAAGAGAGGUAGCUUGCUACUGAUCUUAGCGGCGGACGGGUGAGUAAUGCUUAGGAAUCUGCCUAUUAGUGGGGGACAACAUCUCGAAAGGGAUGCUAAUACCGCAUACGUCCUACGGGAGAAAGCAGGGGAUCUUCGGACCUUGCGCUAAUAGAUGAGCCUAAGUCGGAUUAGCUAGUUGGUGGGGUAAAGGCCUACCAAGGCGACGAUCUGUAGCGGGUCUGAGAGGAUGAUCCGCCACACUGGGACUGAGACACGGCCCAGACUCCUACGGGAGGCAGCAGUGGGGAAUAUUGGACAAUGGGGGGAACCCUGAUCCAGCCAUGCCGCGUGUGUGAAGAAGGCCUUAUGGUUGUAAAGCACUUUAAGCGAGGAGGAGGCUACUUUAGUUAAUACCUAGAGAUAGUGGACGUUACUCGCAGAAUAAGCACCGGCUAACUCUGUGCCAGCAGCCGCGGUAAUACAGAGGGUGCAAGCGUUAAUCGGAUUUACUGGGCGUAAAGCGCGCGUAGGCGGCUAAUUAAGUCAAAUGUGAAAUCCCCGAGCUUAACUUGGGAAUUGCAUUCGAUACUGGUUAGCUAGAGUGUGGGAGAGGAUGGUAGAAUUCCAGGUGUAGCGGUGAAAUGCGUAGAGAUCUGGAGGAAUACCGAUGGCGAAGGCAGCCAUCUGGCCUAACACUGACGCUGAGGUGCGAAAGCAUGGGGAGCAAACAGGAUUAGAUACCCUGGUAGUCCAUGCCGUAAACGAUGUCUACUAGCCGUUGGGGCCUUUGAGGCUUUAGUGGCGCAGCUAACGCGAUAAGUAGACCGCCUGGGGAGUACGGUCGCAAGACUAAAACUCAAAUGAAUUGACGGGGGCCCGCACAAGCGGUGGAGCAUGUGGUUUAAUUCGAUGCAACGCGAAGAACCUUACCUGGCCUUGACAUAGUAAGAACUUUCCAGAGAUGGAUUGGUGCCUUCGGGAACUUACAUACAGGUGCUGCAUGGCUGUCGUCAGCUCGUGUCGUGAGAUGUUGGGUUAAGUCCCGCAACGAGCGCAACCCUUUUCCUUAUUUGCCAGCGAGUAAUGUCGGGAACUUUAAGGAUACUGCCAGUGACAAACUGGGAAGGAAGGCGGGGACGACGU